ACGCUGGAAACGAAAGUUUCCUCGGUCGGACAGUAAGGCCUCUUGGACGAUUGACGAUGUAGCUCUCGUCGUCGAAGUCCCGAGAGACCCAAUUCGGAAGGCUGUAACAAGUGAACCUCCGUGAGCUGGCAGAUCAUCUGUUUGUCGAACGAUUGUGCGAUGGUCGGAUAGAUAUCGUCCGGAUCGGCAUGCGGAAUAUCAAAACUAGCCAGAACAAUUAAAGCUUAAACAGACUUUAAACUGUUCUGUAACGGAUUGUGCUUUUACCCGGAAGAGGUAGUUUAAGAAGACGUUUUGCUUGGCUGCGAACUUCAUUCCACUGUGCGCCAGCGAAUACAGCGAGUCGUUCAUCUUGCGGAUCGGAUCGUUCAGUCUGGCCGACACGAUCGCUGCCGAGUAAUAGUUAAACACCAACAGACCGAAGACAGUGAUCUGAAUGAAAGCGAUUCGAGCGGCAGAUUGAUCGGCGAAAGACGGGAAACCUGAUUAUGAGAUCGCACAAUAACAGGAAACAUUAAUAACGAUGUAUCGAUGUCGCUGUUGAUCGGCAAAUACCUUGCUGACACAACGCGCCGACGGUAAUCAAUGCUGAAAUACUGCAUCCGUCGUAUUCUUCGGUGCGUUCCAGCUUCAAUAUGAGAGACAAAAUGGGAAUGGUGAUCACGACGAGUAUGAUCAUCAUGUACCAUGCAUCCACAGCGAACGGCUUCAGAAUUAUCCACGGUUUCAUCUUCAUCGCCGGUAUAGUGCGAAACACGAAGCAGGUUCUGGUUAAAAGAUUAUUUUGUUUUUUACUUUAUAUUCAGUUAUAUUAUUGUUUAUAUUGCUAUCUAUCUAUAUUGCUACGUUAUUGUUUUUAUAUACACACAUGUGCGUGUAUUAUGUUAUUAACGUAUUAGCUAGUUUUUCAAUUAGAAAUACCGCGUGGGCCAUUGUUGAAGAAUGACGCGUGCGAAUCCGUAUCGUUCGAUCGUCAAAAUACACGGAUAGUAGCCAAGGUCAGCUACGCCCUUCUUCAAACUCCCCAUCACAGGACCGUUGCUGUCGUUUUUCUCCCAGCGAGUGAUCUCGAUGACAUCCAAACUGCGAAAACGUUCGCCGGGUGAUCGAUGCGGUAGAAAAUACACGCAGGAAUAACUCGCAAACAAAGCGUAAGAAUUAAUUACGUGAAAUUGUAGAUGUUCGAAACGUGCGAGAGAAGAGUGUACCCAAAUUUUGACCAGUUGUCCAGUAUUGUAUUGUCGCGCUCCAAGUACUCUGUUAAACUUACGUUUGAC